UUCCAGGAAAGCCCCGGUCGGCGUCUGUCUUUUAAACAGAGGUGGAGCAAAAAAGUUCUUCUUGGUU
rnacentral:tRNA from 1 species